UGAACGCUAGCGGCAGGCUUAAUACAUGCAAGUCGAGGGGCAGCAUGAAGUAGCAAUACUUUGAUGGCGACCGGCAAACGGGUGCGGAACACGUACACAACCUUCCUUUAAGUGGGGAAUAGCCCAGAGAAAUUUGGAUUAAUACCCCGUAACACAACGAAGUGGCAUCACUUUGUUGUUAUAGUUUCGGCGCUUAAUGAUGGGUGUGCGUAUGAUUAGAUAGUUGGCGAGGUAACGGCUCACCAAGUCUACGAUCAUUAGCUGAUGUGAGAGCAUGAUCAGCCACACGGGCACUGAGACACGGGCCCGACUCCUACGGGAGGCAGCAGUAAGGAAUAUUGGUCAAUGGACGCAAGUCUGAACCAGCCAUGCCGCGUGAAGGAUUAAGGUCCUCUGGAUUGUAAACUUCUUUUAGAUGGGACGAAAAAAGGUCUUUCUAGACCCCUUGACGGUACCAUAUGAAUAAGCACCGGCUAACUCCGUG
rnacentral:rRNA from 1 species